rnacentral:lncRNA from 1 species
UCACCUGGCUGAAAGGUGAAGGUUGAGAGGCUGUGUCUGCCCCGCUAAGUCCCUGUGCUGUCUCUCCCUCCCCCUUACCCUGCAGGGGGGCUACGCAGCCUACAGAUACGCUCAGCCUGCAGCGGCAGCGGCGGCCUAUAGCGACAGUUACGGCAGAGUCUAUGCGGCCACUGACCCCUACCACCACACCAUCAGCCCCCUGGCGACCUACAGCAUCAGGACCAUGGCAGCCUGCAGUGACGGCUAGCAGCCAAAGGGGGCAGCAGAGGCCUCUUGGGGGCCAGCCACUUCCUGGAAGGAGCCCCCAAAAGUGAGGUCUGCGGGCCUCUCCACUCCAGGCUCAGCUCCGUCUCCCUGCCACAUGCAGCUCCCAGCCCCCUAGGACUGCAGCUGAGGCCCAGGCUUCCUUUCUUACCAUUCUGUAUGCUUCCAAGGUGUGACCACUAAAAUCAACAGUAUUAAGGUUAUUAAUAAAGAUUUCUUUCUUAAAC